CUCUGGAAAGGUCCAUUUUCUCCAACACAUCGAUAGAUGAUCACAAUCGUGGUUCUGGGCAGGUGAUGAUGGAUGGAACACAUAUCAAUAUUGAUGUAACCAUUCCUGGAGCUAUACUUUGCUUUGGGUCUUAUGUACUUAAAGACUGAAUCACAAUACUUCAUGUCAGUUCCCGUAAUUCAAUAAUAUGAAGCAGGAUUCAUCCAUCAAAAGAUUGGAUUCAGGGUCAGACACCCAAUGUAGUCUAGUCUUAGGUGGUGUCAAAGGUCUCAAAGAUGAAAUAGGUGAAUCUGAUGAAAUGGGUUGUGAAGCAGUUGUUAAGGCUAUGUGAAUAUUGUGGCUGGUACAUGUAUUUCACUUGUGAAGCAGUUCUUAAGCCACGUUCAUGGAAGAAAUGGAUGCAACGCCUUGGGGUCCCUAAGACAAUGAGUACAUAACUAAUUUGCGUAAUGAGAUUGCAAAUCGAUUGGUGUUAAAUGCUUCAAAUUAGAAGUAUUAUUCAACAUAUUGGGUUUGAACUUGUGUUUCAUGUGAUGUUUUGUUAUGCCAAAACUUGAACAAACAAUUGUUACGCUUGUUUAGAUUGAUAUGAUAUCAUGCAUUGAGUUUGACCAUUAA